UAUGUGUCCAUCAAAUCCCGGCGCCAGAUUGGUCCAGCAGGCGGGGAGCGGUAGUUGCGGUGCGGCUUCUGCAGCGCUGCGAGGGACGUGAGUCUGUCUCACCAAUGCAGCGCGAGCAGCGGCAGGUAACUGGGGGAGGAGGAGAGACCAGCAGCGUCCGCCAUGGGCUGGGGGGUGGUUGGAGACCAGCAGCCUCGGGCACGGGUGUGGUGGUGCUAUCUGUCACCCAUUCAUGUUACUACGGGGUGCGCAUACUUGGCAAUGUGUAAAAUGGCAACAGUGCAGGAAUCCUUUAGUCCAAAUGCAGGGUCUCUCACCAUCUAGGGAUGCUGCGGUGGGCUUAGCUUUCGGUAAAGCAAUAGAAGAUCCCGGGCUGGAGAGCACAAAACCACUCCAGAUUGAUUAGGACAGCAAUAUCGGCAUACAUCUUGUAAUAGAAGAAAUUCUCCUCUUCCAUCUGAUUUGCGAGGAAUCUGCAGAAACAGAAUACCACGAGGAGCCAGGAUCUCCCUCCUGUGGUGGUAGCAGUCCUCCAACCUACUGGACGGUCGCAGUUUUCGGAUUCUGGAUUGGAUCCUCCUCACAACAGAUGCGAGUCUGCAAAUAUAUAUAGAUGGAAACUAAUUUAUAUUACUGCAUAUGGAUAGAUAGAAGCCCACUUAUUGAGAUAUACUGUACUCUGAACUUAUAAACAUCAGAGAGCC